UACGUAGGGUGCAAGCGUUUAAUCGGAAUUACUGGGCGUAAAGCGUGCGCAGGCGGUUGUGCAAGACCGAUGUGAAAUCCCCGGGCUUAACCUGGGAAUGGCAUUGGUGACUGCACGGCUAGAGUGUGUCAGAGGGGGGUAGAAUUCCACGUGUAGCAGUGAAAUGCGUAGAGAUGUGGAGGAAUACCGAUGGCGAAGGCAGCCCCCUGGGAUAACACUGACGCUCAUGCAACGAAAGCGUGGGGGAGCAAACAGG
rnacentral:rRNA from 1 species